UGAUGGCUGUUUCUCUCACUGCUUGGAGCCUUAAGUAGUGGGAUUUUAGCCUAUCAUAUGUCUAAGCUGACUUACCUUCACUCAGGGCAUCAUGGGAAUUGGGUGACUGUCUGUCAGUGCCUUCUGAUUUUUGCAGAGUCAAACAAUU
ensembl:snoRNA